AUGAAUGUGGUGUAGUGGUUUGCGUGUUGGACUAUGACUCUGGAGACCAGGGUUCAAAUCCCCACUCAAG